GAAUAUAUUAAUUGUUUCGUCGGCUAAAGUCUGGGAAAAAAACCGACGAACAUGUUUUUCGUCGGCUAACUGUGGGACUAUAGCCGACGAAAAAAAAAAUUUCGUCGGCUAAUGUCAUCACCGACGACCUUUUCCCGACGACACUAUAGCCGACGAGCCUUCGUCGGCUAAGAUCUUAGCCGACGAAUUAAGAUAACAGGCCGACGAAAAUUUUUCGUCGGCUAAAGUGCUUGUCCUGGUAGUGCUAGCUUGAUUAUAAUAAGAAUUUUACCGUCUCUGUCAUUGAGUUAAUAGUUUAAUUGGUCCUUAGAGGGGUUUCGGGGACGAUUGUGUGCGGAGGAUUAUUUGUAGGAGAAAAAUUCGACGACGGUAAAAUUGGUAAAUUUUAGCUAGUAAAAAGUAAUUUUUAUUCGGGUAUUAUUUUUUCGGAGUGUUUUAUUUUUGGAUUUGGGUUGUAUAAGAGUGUGGACCGGGCCAAGGGGUGGCAAAAAGCCCAGCCCUCUCUUUUUUCUCUCUUCUUCUCUUUUCUCUUCCCCGGUUUUUCCCUCUCCCGACUUCUCCCGUUUCCGGUUCUUCUCCAGCCCCAGCUGCCGCCGUCCGGCCAGCCGCCGGCCGCCGCUCCACCCCAGUUCGGACCCCCAUCUCCUCCUCUCCCUCCCCGGCCUAGCCCCCAAGCCUCUAACCCGCCGGAAGAGGAGAAAACCCGCCGGAAACGCCGGGAAGCAUUUCGCCGGAACUCCCUCCUCCGGCCACCAAUCCAGGCAAGCUUGGUAUGGUUUUGUAGGUCUCCAACCCAGCUGCCUUGCCCUAAAAGGACUCACUCCGGUUUGCUUCAGGUAAGGAGAAAUUUGAGGUGGAAGCUCUAGGGCGUUUUUGAUAUUUUUGUUCGAUUGGCAUAGCUAGGCUUGGAUUUUGGGUUUGUGCUAGUUAGGAAAGUUGUAGAGCAUGAUGAGAGGAAGAUGCUGUUAAAAUUUCAUAGGAAUUGGAGGUCGCCGGAUUUGGCCUCCGGCCGCCGCUGCCGGCGGAGCCGCCGCCGGUUGGGAGAUUUUUAUGUUUUUAAAUGUGGAAUAUUAAGGGGAAUUUAUUGAAAUGAGUUUUGGAAUUUUUGGAUGAGUUUUGGUUAGGUUUAUGAUUUUCCGAAGUUUGGUAUUUUUGGCGGUUAAUUAAUGUAAAAUCCGGCCGUAGGAUUUAAGUCAUAUUCUGUGGGAAGUUGUUUUUACGGCUGCCGGUAUGUUCGGCGAAGUUUGAGCCGUAUUGAGUUAAGAAUGGCGAAUUUGGGCAAUGAUGAGUGUGUGGGAGGCUCACAUUUAAUUUUGCCUAUUUUGUUUAAAUAUUGGAUUUUAGUUGGGAAUUUAAUUAUAUAUUUGUGCCAGGGUUCGAGGAACCUCAUUGGAGUGGCAAUUUGGAUUUCGUCGGGCUUAUGCCUAGAGUUGUGAGUGGACUUUGUUUUUAAUUUGAAAGCAUGCGAUGCAUUAUGUUGUUGAUCAGAUAUUCUUCACCUGAGAUUUAUGAUUUUUCGGAUAAUUGGCAAUUUUCCUCCUUUGGAGAGAUCCCGAAAAUGGAAUUUUCGGUGGAUAUGAAUAUGUGUUUAUGAGAGAGUAUGUAUAUAAAUGCUAGCUAGCCCUAUGUGUCUGUCCACCUUAAUGGCGUAGCGUAUAGCCGCAUUAUGGUGUGACGUGAGCGUUGGACGCGAGCGUAGUAGCCCUAUAUGAGUGUUUAAUUCAUAUAGGGGGUAUGGGCACAUAUUUAUACACCCGUCUGUCCACCUUAAUGGCGUAGUGUAGCACCGCAUUAAGGCGUGACGUGAGCGUUGGACGCGAGCGUAGUAGCCCUAUAUAGACCCAUGAAUUUAUAUAGGGAGUAUGGACGUGUGUAAAUACAUACAUAUAUUAUAGAGCCUGAGAGGCUCGACAUUUAUGAGAUAAAAGUUUUAUCGCUAAUUGAUUUGGGAAAACAUAAAUAUUUUAUUCGUUAAUUUAUUUUUGUCCACUCACUCUAACGGUUUUCAAAUGUUUUCCCCUAGGCUCUUCGUUUUAAAAAUGCCCAGUUUGCAGGUUAGCAUAGUUGAGGUCGGGCGUACAUGGAGAAGAGGCAUAAUCAAUAGUUUAGCUUCCGCUUAUUUCUAAAUUUCUAGUUCAUUUCCUCUCAAUUAGAAUUGCUCUGAACUGUGAUGGUUGGUUGUGAGAUUAUUCUUUUAAAGUUAGUAAAUAAUUGGGAGAUGUUGUGAUUUGGGGAGCACGAAGGCUCCAGGAGUUUAAGGUUGGAUUUAAAUUUUCAGAAGUGUUUGCAGGUUUUAGGAAGGGUUGUCCAUUUUCAAGGGAGGUUAUGCCGAAUUUUCGGUAAACUUUCCUUGGAGGUGGUCCCCGCACGACUUACUCUGGGUUUCAGGGUGAAAUUUGGGGCGGGUCGUGUCAAUCAAUAUGGAACAUAUUUCUUUCGGUCAUUUCGGUCAUUAAGACCGAAAUAUUCAUUGAAUUAAAUUGGUUCUUUCCUUUCUAAAUCUUGUGUUUAUAAUAGUAUAAAUAUGAGGCGUAUAACUCAUUGUAAAGGGUCCUCGACCAACACAACUCACUUAAAUACAAUACACCAAAUUCUCUACAACAUCGAUCUUGUUAUCCUCAUUCUAGUCUAGUUUUCUUCUUCUUUUUAUCGCUUUCUUUAUAUUUAGCAAUUUAGUUUCAUACAAUUUACUCUUACGCGUCUUUAUGUUCCAUGUACUUUAAUUCCUCGCAAUUACUUUCCACUUUUUACUUUCCAACAAUUUGGAUUUUGUUAUUUUACUUUCCACACUAUAUUUCUCGCAAACUUAUACAAAAAUUCACAAAAAAAGAAGCAAUAUCGGUGAAAACGUCGAAAGUCCUUGCAACAAAGGCAAGAGAACCCAACGGCCGAGACGGUUUCUUCCUCGGCCUACAAUCACUUAAAAGAAGUCAGAUCAGACGCAAAAUAUUUAUCAAAAACCUCGCUUGGCCAACAUGCCGCAAGUUGGCACACCCACGCAAAUCAGAAAGAUGAUUGUUCUCAAGACCCUCGGCCCUCAUCUCAGUCAAGAUGAUUUUUGAGCAAACAUUUAUAGAGAAGGAGAAGGCAUUAUUGCCUACCACUAAUAGGAAUAGGAUUCCUAUUUGGUGAAAAAAUAUGAUGUCCUUAUGGCUAUAUGAGGAGGGGUUCAGCUCUAGUUUUGUAUUGCAGAGACGACGAGCAAAGUGUACCUCAUUCUUGGUUACAAGGUGAGAGAAGGCAGAGAGGAGAAAGAUAGGAAGAGAAGAGCUUUUUUUUUUUUUUUUUUUUUAUUCUUUCUGGUGUACCUAUUAUUAUUAUAGUGGAAGAGUGUUUUCUGUUGGUGGGCGUAGGCAAAAGUUUUGCUAACUCUUUUCUCUGGUUGUUUCUCUUGGUUUGUUGUGCAUGUUUGGGGUUUGGCACACAUAAUUGACCGAAUUCACAACAUGUUGCAUGUUCCCUUGUAAAUGUGGUUGAGCUCAACUUUCUCCCUAGAUCCGUUAUGCAGAGUUUUGCACCUAGCAAACAUGGCCCCCAAAGGGCGAAGUUAGACACUUAGACCUGCUCUUUGGAGGCACAUCAUGAUUUUGCCCCCUGAAAACUUUGUGUACCCCUGUCUAUUUCAUGUUUUCUGAGCAAUCAGCACUCACUUUACGUUUACA
rnacentral:lncRNA from 1 species